UACGAAGGGGGGCUAGCGUUGCUCGGAAUCACUGGGCGUAAAGCGCACGUAGGCGGCUUUUCAAGUCAGGGGUGAAAUCCUGGAGCUCAACUCCAGAACUGCCUUUGAUACUGAAGAGCUCGAGUCCGGGAGAGGUGAGUGGAACUGCGAGUGUAGAGGUGAAAUUCGUAGAUAUUCGCAAGAACACCAGUGGCGAAGGCGGCUCACUGGCCCGGUACUGACGCUGAGGUGCGAAAGCGUGGGGAGCAAACAGG
rnacentral:rRNA from 1 species